AAACCAACAGGGAUUGCCUCAGUAGCGGCGAGUGAAGCGGCAAGAGCUCAAAUUUGAAAUCUGGUACCUUUGGUGCCCGAGUUGUAAUUUGAAGAAGGUAUUCUUUGGUUUGGCCCCUGUCUAUGUUCCUUGGAACAGGACGUCAUAGAGGGUGAGAAUCCCGUGCGAUGGGGUGGUCCAUUCCUUGUAAGAUUCCUUCGACGAGUCGAGUUGUUUGGGAAUGCAGCUCUAAGUGGGUGGUAAAUUCCAUCUAAGGCUAAAUAUUGGCGAGAGACCGAUAGCGAACAAGUACAGUGAUGGAAAGAUGAAAAGAACUUUGAAAAGAGAGUGAAAAAGUACGUGAAAUUGUUGGAAGGGAAGGGUAUUUGAUCAGACUUGCAUUGCGCUAUGGCUGCUCCUUGUGGGUGGUCCUCUAGUGCUUUGCUGGGCCAGCAUCGGUUCGUGCGGCAAGAUAAUUGCGAUUGAAUGUGGCUCUGCUUCGGUGGAGUGUUAUAGCUUUCGUUGAUGUUGCCAGUGUGGACCGAGGACUGCGUCUUUUGACUAGGAUGCUGGCGUAAUGAUUAAAUACCGC
rnacentral:rRNA from 1 species